GACGAACGCUGGCGGCGUGCUUAACACAUGCAAGUCGAACGGAAAGGCCCUGCUUUUGUGGGGUGCUCGAGUGGCGAACGGGUGAGUAACACGUGAGUAACCUGCCCUUGACUUUGGGAUAACUUCAGGAAACUGGGGCUAAUACCGGAUAGGAGCUCCUGCUGCAUGGUGGGGGUUGGAAAGUUUCGGCGGUUGGGGAUGGACUCGCGGCUUAUCCGCUUGUUGGUGGGGUAGUGGCUUACCAAGGCUUUGACGGGUAGCCGGCCUGGGAGGGUGACCGGCCACAUUGGGACUGAGAUACGGCCCAGACGCCUACGGGAGGCAGCAGUGGGGAAUAUUGCAGAAUGGGCGGAAGCCUGAUGCAGCAACGCCGCGUGCGGGAUGACGGCCUUCGGGUUGUAAACCGCUUUCGCCUGUGACGAAGCGUGAGUGACGGUAAUGGGUAAAGAAGCACCGGCUAACUACGUG
rnacentral:rRNA from 1 species